CAUUAUUUAAUGAUGAUUUCAUAGUUCAUAUGAUCAAAUGUGAUUAAAUUACAGGCAAAUGUCUUUCGCCCCUAACUGAAAACAAAA